CAGUAGGGAAUCUUCCACAAUGGACGCAAGUCUGAUGGAGCAACGCCGCGUGAGUGAAGAAGGUUUUCGGAUCGUAAAGCUCUGUUGUUGGUGAAGAAGGAUAGAGGCAGUAACUGGUCUUUAUUUGACGGUAAUCAACCAGAAAGUCACGGCUAACUACGUGCCAG
rnacentral:rRNA from 1 species